UUGCUUUGAUUAUGUUAAUAAAUAUCAAAUUUAGUACAUUUUUUGGGUUUAAAAUUUUGAGGAGAUUGUUUAGUUUGUUUGUCAAUGUGAUUGAUAUGAAACAUUAAUUACUUGUCUUUGUGGAUUUGCAGAUGGAUACCAGUGAAGAUUUCGAAAGCGUUUUUCUGGAAAUGUUGCACAGGCAGAUUUGUGUUGGCCACUCUUUGCUUUGUGUUGGCCAAUCCUUACAAGUUCAGGGCUGCUAUACGAAAACAAAUUAGAGAGUUAAUGAAGGUUGAUGGGCUUACUAAUGAUGAAGUCAAAAGCCAUUUGCAGGUUUGUAUGUGUGAUUAUCCAUCUGUUUUGAAUCAUAAUUUGGUUGAUGUGAAUAAAAUUUUACACAUACAUGACAAAAAUUGGAAGCCAUUUUGCAUGC